rnacentral:rRNA from 1 species
AGGCCAAUCAAACCCGGAGAUAUCUCGUUCUCCCCGAAAUAGCUUUAGGGCUAGCCUCGAUCGCUUACCGACGGUGGUAGAGCACUGGAUCCGUGCGGGGGCCUCACCGCCUACCAACCGAAACCAAACUCCGAAUGCCGUCGGUCCCGAGAUCGGGAGUCAGAACAUGUGGGCUAAGCCGUGUGUUCGAGAGGGAAACAGCCCAGACCGCCUGCUAAGGUCCCCAAAUCAACGCUGAGUGGCAAAGGAUGUGCGUUUGCCUAGACAACCAGGAUGUUGGCUUAGAAGCAGCCAUGCAUUUAAAGAGUGCGUAACAGCUCACUGGUCAAGUGGACAUGCGCCGACAAUACACGGGGCUAAGCGUUGUACCGAAGCAGCGGACUGUUUUAUCAGUGGUAGGGGAGCUUUCCAUGCCGGGGCGAAGCCGACGGGCGACCGUCGGUGGACUGCAUGGAAGUGAGAAUGCUGGCAUGAGUAACGAGAGAGGGGCGAGAAACCCCUCCGCCGUAAGCCUAAGGGUUCCUGGGCAAGGCUAAUCCCCCCAGGGUCAGUCGGGAGCUAAGGCGAGGCCGACAGGCGUAGCCGAUGCACAACAGGCGGACAUUCCUGUACCACCGCGGAGCGUUACUACGACGGGGUGACGGAGAAGGGUAGCCGGGCGGGGUUCUGGACGUCCCCGUGAAAGCGCGUAGGCCGCAGGGCAGGCAAACCCGCCCUGCAUCGAGGCCGAGACGUUAGACGAAGCUUCAUGUGAAGCCGGCGAGCCCAUGCUUCCGAGAAAAACCUCUAAGGAGCGAGGCGGUGCCCGUACCAAAACCGACACAGGUAGGCGGGUAGAGCAUACCAAGGCGAUCGGGAGAACCAUGGUUAAGGAACUCGGCAUACUGACUCCGUAACUUCGGGAGAAGGAGUGCCCCCGACGGUGAUUCCCCUCGCGGGAGGAGCUGUUGGGGGUCGCAGCGAAACGGCCCAAGCGACUGUUUACCAAAAACACAGGACUCUGCAAAGCCGCAAGGCGACGUAUAGGGUCUGACGCCUGCCCGGUGCUGGAAGGUUACGCGGAUGAGUUAGCGCAAGCGAAGCCCUGAAGCCAAGCCCCAGUAAACGGCGGCCGUAACUAUAACGGUCCUAAGGUAGCGAAAUUCCUUGUCGGGUAAGUUCCGACCUGCACGAAUGGCGUAACGACUUGGGCGCUGUCUCAACCAUGGACCCGGUGAAAUUGUAUUAUUCGUGAAGAUGCGAAUUACCUGCGGAAGGACGGAAAGACCCCGUGAACCUUUACUGCAGCUUGGCAUUGGCUGUUGGUGCGGUGCGUAGAGGAUAGGCAGGAGCCUGCGAACCGGGAACGCCAGUUCCCGGGGAGGCGCCCUUGGAAUACUGCCCUCACCGCAUCGGCAGCCUAACGCGCCGCCCUCAUCGGGGGCGCGGACCGUGCCAGGUGGGUAGUUUGACUGGGGCGGUCGCCUCCUAAACUGUAACGGAGGCGUGCGAAGGUUCGCUCAGGGCGGUUGGCAAUCGCCCGCAGAGCACAAGAGUACAAGCGAGCCUGACUGCGAGACCAACAAGUCGAGCAGAGACGAAAGUCGGUUCUAGUGAUCCGGCGGCCCAGCGUGGAAUGGCCGUCGCUCAACGGAUAAAAGGUACUCCGGGGAUAACAGGCUGAUCUUGCCCA